UCCUUCUGCCUUCUAUCGAAAAUAAAUAGAAAUAAAUAGCCCCCUUCUGUCGUCUUGUUGCUUUUCGAAAAUUCUAAUAGUAGGCACCACUGAUGUUGUUGAAUAAAAUAUGGAAACCUCCACUAAUAUUUUUCGAAAACAAUAUAUUGAGCCCUCUGCCUUGUUGUCGCCUACUGUUUUUUUUUCAAGACCAAUGAUAGCCAAUCUCCUCCACCAAUAAUAAUCCCAAAACCUCACUUCAUGCCGUUGUCUAUUAUUGAGCCCUCCUUGCCUGUUCUUUUCUUCGAAAAUAAUAGGGUAUAAAGGUUCGUGGCGAAAAGUAGGUUUAAGGAAUUCUUCGUGGGUUGGAGUGACGAAGACUGGAUGUUCGUGGAGAUGGUUCGCGGCGAAAAGGUUUUGGGGUUUUGCAGGAAGAGGUUGGAUGUGGCGGCAGCGGCUGGUGUUGGCGGCUGCUGCUGUUGUUUUUGAUACGGAUUGGGUGAAGAACAAAGACGACAGGAAAAUGCAUCAGUCUUCGGUUGCAAUAUAUAACUAUUGCUAGCUAAAAUAUACUCACAUGGGCAGUAGGAUGACUCAUGUUAUCCAGCAAUUCCUGUAAUAGUUUAUAAUGAAGCUGAAUUUCCGAUAACGGCAUCCUCGGGGGCGAUACCUCAAUUAAAGCAGCAGAAAGAAACGAGUAGCGUUUGGCAACAACUGUUGUGGUUACAGUCUGGGGUAACGGCUCAA